rnacentral:rRNA from 1 species
GCACCAUUUGGAGCUUCGGAGUCGAAUGGCCAAUACUCUGUUAAAUCUUUUUAUAAGAUGAUUAACUUUGGUGGGAUUUCUUCUGAUAUUAAAGAUUUCAUCUGGAAGAUUAAAGUGCCUCCAAAUAUCCACGUCUUCUUGUGGCCGAUGUGUAAUAAUAAAAGCUUGACUAGGGAUAAUCUUGGCAAAAGAAGACAUGUAGAAGAUAAAACAUGUGUUUUUUGUGCUGAAUCAGAAUCAAUUCAACACUUGAUGUUUGAUUGCAUCGUUGCGACUAAAGUGUGGGAUGUGAUUGCUGAAGCUUUUAAAAUAAUCCCUCCAGCGUCUUUUUAAUCUUUAUCUUCCUUUUGGAAGAAGAAAAAUCAAUGUGAAGCUAUUAAUACUUCCACAUCUGCUACCUUAUGGUGCUUAUGGCAUUUGCGCAAUGAUUUUGUCUUUCAGGGGAGAAGAUGGCAAGGUAUUUGUUGUGUGUUCAACCAGGUGGGGACAACAAUCAGGCAGUGGAAAAUCUUAUGUUCAGAGGUCCAGGGUGUUCUUCUUCUCCAGUGCUUAAGGCUUUUGGAUCAGCAAAGAGGGGAACUGCUUAGAAUCGCCUGGACUAGCUGA